GUCAGUAUUUUUCAGUAAAUUGUUGCCCAUUACACAUUAUGCAUGUAAUAGUGAAAUGUUUUAUGAACCGUACGAUAUAUUUAGAUAGUUUGAGGUAUAAAAUAGUGUUUAAUAAAUUCGUGUUUUAAAAUAUAAAAUAGAGUGUGUCUGCGCUGAUUCCUGCGCAAAAAAGUAUCAGCGUCAUCAUGGAGUCCAUGUCUAAGCCAUAGACUUAAAGUGACCUAGUGACCAUGUCAUGGAUUCAAUUGGAUUAAGCCCCCUAAAAAAACCCUAAACCUCUAGUGUUGGGUAGUACAAAAGAUGAGUUUUUUUAAAAGAGAUGAAGCAUUGGAGAGUAUAGCAACAAGACGAUAUUAUGUUCUAUAUUCUAUUAUGAUCGUAUGUAAUUAUGUCCGUCUACAAUUAUAUUACUAUACUAUAUAGACAUAUAAAGAAAAUCAGAAAAUGUGAGUGCAGUGAAUGAGUACAUACGCGACGCGUAGUUAGUUUGUUGAAUCCUUUGAAUCCCAGAAGUAUAACAUGGCUGAAAAAGAAAGAAACCAUGUGUGGACGGCUUAGAUUUAUAUACAGGAAAAGCCCGUUUCAUUGGAAUUAUAGAUACUGGAACUGAGAAUUUUUUCCUGGCGUCAUGCGUCAUCCUGAACACAAUUCAAAAAGUUGCAAAUCAAUAGAUGUCUUAUUUAAAAAUAAAUAUAUUUUUCCUAAAUGUCCUGGUCUAAUAGCCCGAUCAAAGAACACAAAACUAACAAAAACUUCAAAAACAAAAUUAGGAAGAAUGAAAAUUCGCUGAUACGUAAUUGAAAUGAUCUAUUUAGUCCAGAAAGCCACUGCGCAUCCGCUAGAAAAAAUAUUCCGAUUCGGAUUUUUUGCACAAUCUUCUUCAAAAAGGACCCCUUAUAUAUAUUUAGGUAUAUUAGGUAUAUUUUGACGAGAUUAUAAAUUAACCAAAGGGACUAUUUUGGGUUGCAGUCUAAUUAAAAUAGUUACCUCGUUGACAAGUGCGUAAGUCAUUGUUAGAAGUUACGCCGAGUGUAAUUAUUAUCAGUAUAGUCCAGAAAGCCACUGCGCAUCCGCUAGGAAAAAUAUUCUAAUUCGGAUUUUUUGCACA